AGUGAACGCUGGCGGUAGGCCUAACACAUGCAAGUCGAACGGUAGCACAGUAAGAGCUUGCUCUUACGGGUGGCGAGUGGCGGACGGGUGAGGAAUACAUCGGAAUCUACUUUUUCGUGGGGGAUAACGUAGGGAAACUUACGCUAAUACCGCAUACGACCUACGGGUGAAAGCAGGGGAUCUUCGGACCUUGCGCGAUUGAAUGAGCCGAUGUCGGAUUAGCUAGUUGGCGGGGUAAAGGCCCACCAAGGCGACGAUCCGUAGCUGGUCUGAGUGGAUGAUGAGCCACACUGGAACUGAGACACGGCCCAGACUCCUACGGGAGGCAGCGGUGGGGAAUAUUGGACAAUGGGCGCAAUCCUGAUCCAGCCAUACCGCGUGGGUGAAGAAGGCCUUCGGGUGGUAAAGCCCUUUUGUUGGGAAAGAAAAGCAGCAGGUUAGAACCCCGCUGUUGUGACGGUACCCAAAGAAUAAGCACCGGCUAACUUCGUG
rnacentral:rRNA from 1 species